rnacentral:rRNA from 1 species
AUUGAACGCUGGCGGCAGGCCUAACACAUGCAAGUCGAACGAGUGGCGGACGGGUGAGAAAAGUCUGGGAAACUGCGUGAAGGAGGGGGAUAACUACUGGAAACAGGACCUAAUAUCGCAUACCAUAGGAGGUGCCCAGAUGGGAUUAGAUAGUAGGUGGGGUAAAGGCUCACCUAGGCGACGAUCCCUCGCUGGUCUGAGAGGAUGACCAGCCACACGGGAACUGAGACACGGUCCAGACUCCUACGGGAGGCAGCAGUGGGGAAUUUUGGACAAUGGGGGAAACCCUGAUCCAGCCAUCCCGCGUGUAUGAUGAAGGCCUUCGGGUUGUAAAGUACUUUUGGCAGAGAAGCGGUAUCUGCAGAAUAAGCACCGGCUAACUACGUGCCAGCAGCCGCGGUAAUAC